AAACCAACAGGGAUUGCCUUAGUAGCGGCGAGUGAAGCGGCAAGAGCUCAAAUUUGAAAUCUGGCAUCUUCGAUGUCCGAGUUGUAAUUUGAAGAAUUCGAUCUUGGAGUUGGCCCUUGUCUAUGUUCCUUGGAACAGGACGUCACAGAGGGUGAGAAUCCCGUGCGAUGGGGUGUCCAAUUCUAUGUAAGACGUUUUCGAAGAGUCGAGUUGUUUGGGAAUGCAGCUCAAAGUGGGUGGUAAAUUCCAUCUAAAGCUAAAUAUUGGCGAGAGACCGAUAGCGAACAAGUACUGUGAAGGAAAGAUGAAAAGAACUUUGAAAAGAGAGUGAAAAAGUACGUGAAAUUGUUGAAAGGGAAGGGUAUUCGAUCAGACUGGUAUUUAGUUAUCUUUGCUCCUUGUGGGUGAGGCUCUAACUUUUUACUGGGCCAACAUCAGUUUUGGUGGCGAGAUAAUGACAUUAGAAUGUAACUCCUUCUGGAGUAUUAUAGCUCUUGUUGAUAUCGCCUACCGGGACUGAGGUCUGCGGCUUUGCCUAGGAUGUUGGCGUAAUGAUCCAAUACCGC
rnacentral:rRNA from 1 species